UACAGAGGGGGCAAGCGUUAUUCGGAAUUAUUGGGCGUAAAGGCCGCGUAGGCGGCUUGGCAAGGGGAGGGGGAAAUCCCUCGGCUUAACCGAGGAACUGCCCUCCAAACUGCUAGGCUUGAGUCCGGGAGAGGUGAGUGGAAUUCCCAGUGUAGCGGUGAAAUGCGUAGAUAUUGGGAGGAACACCAGUGGCGAAGGCGGCUCACUGGACCGGAACUGACGCUGAGGCGCGAAAGCGUGGGGAGCAAACGGG
rnacentral:rRNA from 1 species